rfam:Schistosoma margrebowiei strain Zambia genome assembly, scaffold: SMRZ_contig0000490
ACACUGCUGAGGAGUGCCGCAAUAGGACGAAACGGCCGUCCAGUGU